rnacentral:rRNA from 1 species
GGUUCUUGUUAGUGGCAGACGGGUGAGUAUGCGUAGGAAUCUACCUAGUAGUAUGGAAUAGCCAUUAGAAAUGAUGGGUAAUACUGUAUAAUCCCUGCGGGGGAAAGAUUUAUCGCUAUUAGAUGAGCCUACGUUAGAUUAGCUAGUUGGUAAGGUAAUGGCUUACCAAGGCUAUGAUCUAUAGCUGGUCUGAGAGGACGAUCAGCCACACUGGAACUGAGAUACGGUCCAGACUCCUACGGGAGGCAGCAGUGGGGAAUAUUGGACAAUGGGCGAAAGCCUGAUCCAGCUAUGCCGCGUGAGUGAAGAAGGCCUUCGGGUUGUAAAACUCUUUCAAUAGGGAAGAUAAUGACGGUACCUAUAA